CAUCAGUUCUCUAAAACUGUUAGACCGACAGGCGGUCAGCUACAACGAAGUUUCAGCAGCUAGAAGGUUAUUUGCUCCUCAGCUGGUAAGGAUAAAUGACUCUAUAAAGUUUGGUAGACGUGAAUUCAACAAGGAACAUUUCCCGCCAAAACGCUUUACUGGAAAAACAGUGAGAUACAUUAGAGUAGGAGACAACCCCCACUCUCGAGCAAGUUUAUCGCCACGACGGAACACUACCCCAAUGUCAUACUCCCUGUUCGACUGGGAAACCUCGGGGAGGGAGUUUCUAUACUCUAAAACUAGAUCCCCUCCCAGAAAACUUACUGUAUCUAUCAAGUGAGUGGCAAGCUUACUGUGGGUACAGUAUUAGGUAUCUCGCGGAUCUAAUUUGGUAUGUUAUUUGUGUUUAUAAGUGUACAUAUUUAUACAGUAACUCAGUGUUUCUAUUCGUGUUUGUGCUCGUUCUGAAUUUGAUUUUUGUUCCCUAUUUUGGUUCAGAAUUAGGGACAACUAAAGGGGCGUAUAAAUACUAAAUAGUGUAAAAUAGGGGUGGCUAACCAGACUAGUCCUACAAGGGCGUACCUGUGGUAAACUCUGCCUGCUCACUGCACAAG